AUCUAUUAAGUUCAUUUGUUCAAGAGUUCGAUUGAGUUCUAGUAUUUCAUUACUUAUUUUUAGUCUAGUUGAUCUAUCUAUUUGUGACAGUGGGGUGUUGAGGUCCCCCACUACAAUUGUAUUAGUGCAUAUAUGACUUUUCAUGUCCAUUAGUAAUUGUUUUAUAUAGUUGGGUGCACUAGUGUUUGGUGCAUAUAUAUUUAUGAUUGUCAUCUCUUCCUCUUGGAUUGUUCCCUUUACAAGGAUGUAGUGUCCUUCUUCAUCUCUCUUCAUCAGUGUUGGUUUGAAAUCUACUUGAUCUGCCAAGAGGAUAGCUACUCCUGCUAUUUUUCAGGUUCCUGUCACAUGUAGUAUUGUUUUCCACCCUUUAAGUUUCAGUCUAUGAGUUUCCUUUUGAAUUAAGUGUGUUUCUUGUAUGCAGCAUAUUAUUGGAUUUUGCUUCUUGACCCAUUCUGCCAGUCUAUUUCUUUUGAUUGGUGAAUUGAGACCAUUAACGUUGAUGGUUAUUACUGAAAUGUAUUGACUUGUCAUUGCCAUGACUUUUUCUUUUUGUUGGGUUCUCCCCCUUUCCAUUUAAUUUCUUGUCAUGCCAGAUGAGUUCAUUCUGCUUUGCUUCCUGGGGUUGUGAUCCUCAAUGUCUGUUCCUAGGAUAUUGUGUAAAAUUCCUUGGAGUGCUGGUUUGGCGUUCACGAAGUUCCUAAGGUGCUCUUUGUCAUGAAAGUAUCUUAUUUCUCCAUCCAUUUUGAAAGAUAGUUUUGCAGGGUACAUCAAUGUGGGUUGGAGACUGUUUUCUUUUAGGGCUUGGAGUAUGUCACUCCAAGCUCUUCUUGCCUUGAUGAUUUGUGUUGAGAAGUCUGCUAUGAUUCUGAUGGGCUUUCCUUUGUAUGUGAUUUGUUUCUUUUCUCUGACUGCUUGGAGAAUUUUGUUCUUCUGUUGUGUUUCUGGAAUCUUUACAAUUAUAUGCCUAGUGUAGAUUUUUUUUUGAUCAAGGCUAUUUGGAGUCCUAUGUGCCUCACUUAUCUGUAUGUCAAGCUCUUUUCCUCUGCUUGGGAAGUUUUCUGCCGUUAUUUCUGUGAAGAGAUUUUUUUAUGUCAUCUCCACUUUCUCCUGUUUCUUCAUUGACUCCAAUCAGUCUUAUGUUAUUCUUCUUUGCAUCAUCUAGCAGCUGCUGGGUUGAUUUCUCAUGUUCCUUUAUAAUUUUGAAACAAUUUUUCUUUUCC
rnacentral:lncRNA from 1 species